rnacentral:rRNA from 1 species
GCAACGGUGGAUGCUUAGUACGGCGAGUGAAGCGGCAAAAGCUCAAAUUUGAAAUCUGGUACCUUCGGUGCCCGAGUUGUAAUUUGGAGAGGGCAACUUUGGGGCCGUUCCUUGUCUAUGUUCCUUGGAACAGGACGUCAUAGAGGGUGAGAAUCCCGUGUGGCGAGGAGUGCGGUUCUUUGUAAAGUGCCUUCGAAGAGUCGAGUUGUUUGGGAAUGCAGCUCUAAGUGGGUGGUAAAUUCCAUCUAAAGCUAAAUAUUGGCGAGAGACCGAUAGCGAACAAGUACAGUGAUGGAAAGAUGAAAAGAACUUUGAAAAGAGAGUGAAAAAGUACGUGAAAUUGUUGAAAGGGAAGGGCAUUUGAUCAGACAUGGUGUUUUGUGCCCUCUGCUCCUUGUGGGUAGGGGAAUCUCGCAUUUCACUGGGCCAGCAUCAGUUUUGGUGGCAGGAUAAAUCCAUAGGAAUGUAGCUUGCCUCGGUAAGUAUUAUAGCCUGUGGGAAUACUGCCAGCUGGGACUGAGGACUGCGACGUAAGUCAAGGAUGCUGGCAUAAUGGUUAUAUGCCGCCCGUCUUAAAA